UACGUAGGGGGCAAGCGUUGUCCGGAUUUAUUGGGCGUAAAGAGCGUGUAGGCGGCCUGACAAGUCUGCUGUGAAAACUCGAGGCUCAACCUCGAGAUGUCGGCGGAAACUGUCUGGCUAGAGUCCGGAAGAGGAGAGUGGAAUUCCUGGUGUAGCGGUGAAAUGCGCAGAUAUCGAGGAAGAACACCUAUGGCGAAGGCAGCUCUCUGGGCUGGAACUGACGCUGAGGAGCGAAAGCGUGGGUAGCAAACAGG
rnacentral:rRNA from 1 species